GCAGCCAUCAUUUAAAGAAAGCGUAAUAGCUCACUGGUCGAGUCGGCCUGCGCGGAAGAUGUAACGGGGCUAAACCAUGCACCGAAGCUGCGGCAGCGACACUAUGUGUUGUUGGGUAGGGGAGCGUUCUGUAAGCCGUUGAAGGUGUGCUGUGAGGCAUGCUGGAGGUAUCAGAAGUGCGAAUGCUGACAUAAGUAACGAUAAAGCGGG
rnacentral:rRNA from 1 species